UACGUAGGGUGCAAGCGUUUUCCGGAUUUAUUGGGCGUAAAGAGCUCGUAGGCGGCUCGUCGCGUCGGAUGUGAAAACUCGGGGCUUAACCCCGAGCCUGCAUUCGAUACGGGCGGGCUAGAAUUCGGUAGGGGAGACUGGAAUUCCUGGUGUAGCGGUGAAAUGCGCAGAUAUCAGGAGGAACACCGAUGGCGAAGGCAGGUCUCUGGGCCGAUAUUGACGCUGAGGAGCGAAAGCGUGGGGAGCGAACAGG
rnacentral:rRNA from 1 species